rnacentral:tRNA from 1 species
GUCACGAUAGCUCAAGUGGUAGAGCAGCGGUAUAUCAAACCGAAGGUCGUGGGUUCGAAUCCCACUCGUGACA